GUUCAUUGUGAAUCCGUCGCGGCCGAAGAGAGGACGUGCGUACUCACUGUAUUUCUGAGAUAAGAAAACGAUAAGAUGCAGAGAUACUGUGAAUAAAUUCUUAGACUGAAGAAACUCCCAGCAGUAAGAAGGAGCGAAAGACGCACCCUGUAGACGAAGGCGUCGUAGAGAACGUGUAGAUUCGGGUUACGACGCAGGGCGGGGCGGAGGUAGGCCUGGGCGACGGAACACCGAAGGCCGCCGCAGAUGGUAUAUUCCGGCUUAGCGAAUCCUGCGGAACGUUACGAGAGUUCUGACACUACCUAUCUGCUCCCGGCCGUUUGGAUCGACGACAGAAAACCCAAGUUCCAUUCCGGCGUAGAGGAAAGCUUGUGCAAGUUUCCCCGUUUUGGGUUCAGGGGUAACGACUAAGGGACCAC